rnacentral:misc_RNA from 1 species
GAUGAAGAACGCAGCGAAAUGCGAUAAGUAAUGUGAAUUGCAGAAUUCAGUGAAUCAUCGAAUCUUUGAACGCACAUUGCGCCCGCCAGUAUUCUGGCGGGCAUGCCUGUUCGAGCGUCAUUUCAACCAUCAAGCCCCCGGGCUUGUGUUGGGGACCUGCGGCUGCCGCAGGCCCUGAAAAGCAGUGGCGGGCUCGCUGUCACACCGAGCGUAGUAGAUUUUAUCUCGCUCAGGGCGUGCUGCAGGUUCCGGCCGUUAAACCACCUUCAUAACCCAAGGUUGACCUCGGAUCAGGUAGGAAGACCCGCUGAACUUAAGCAUAUCAAUAAGCGGAGGA